rnacentral:lncRNA from 1 species
AUUUCAUCUAAAGAGAAGCAGCAAUUACUUCCUUUCCUGAUUUCAUCUAAAGAGAAGCAGAUCUUUUACACUUUAAUUACUUCAUUUCCUGAUUUCAAAAAACAAAAAAAAAUUCUUCAUCUCCUUCUUCCUUUGGAGUCCUUUUCUGUUUCCUUCCUCACCUUGAGCUUCGAUUCAAAACAAUGGCUUGCUCACACUUUCCUCAGUUUCAUGGUUCCAAACAUUACGAGGUUUCCGACAGCUAUGAUCGACUGAGUGAGUUACUCGAUUUCUUAAUAUAUACUUUUGAUUCUUUCGUUUUUGUUUUGGACGAAAGAUGUUGUUAGGACAAUCAUUCUCUCCAAACGAUGGAAAGAUCUCUGGACCACCGUCCUCCUACUAGUAGCCAUGUUAAAUCAUGGCUGCUUUUUGCGGUGAUGAAACAAGUGGAAGAUCUACAUGUAUAUGCUCACAUCCCAUACUGCCGACCUCAACAUUUCUGUUCAUGCUCCUCCAUUACAACUCUACACCUUCAAGAUUGUUCGUUGGAUAUCGAGGGGUCUGUGCAGUUGAAUCAACUCGAGAGUUUAUCAAUUCACCUUCCGAAUUCCUUGUGGGCUGACGCCGUAGACAAAAUUCUCUUGGGCGCCCCUCGCUUGGAAAAUAUGAGUUUGAGUGUGGUUGAAAUUAAUGGAAACUUCAAUAUCCUAUCUCUCAGUUUGAAGACGCUCAUAAUCGGCGAGACUGAAAUAAAGGGAGUGCUCACGCUUUGGGCUCCUAACCGUUCUAUCAACUUUUGAGAAGCAUCUGCCAUGUUAAGAAGGUCACAUUAUCGUUGUUGAACAUUAAGGUUUGAUUUCUUGUUCGCAUUAAUAUAAUGAGAGAGUCGAAUUGACAAAUUGUGCAUAUUCAUGUCUUUAAUAUGUAUAGAUAAAUUCUUGUUCUCUUUUCAUAUUUCAUUUUCUAUGCACUAGCUAGUGCAAUUUAACUUUCGUGUGGCAUUUGAUCUAAUUAAGCUUAUUUGGGGGGUGAGGUCUUUGGAUUGACAUCUUUUUAUACUCCUUAAUAACUAUUUUCUAUAUAUCAUAUUCUCACCAUAAUAAGAAAUUAUUCUCCUCCACAAAAAUAUAAAAUAAUGGGACAUCGGCAUGUCCUAUAUCCAAAAUAUUUAAAACUUUCAAAUAAUAUUGCUAAAGUGAUGAAUUUUAGAACAAUCGAUUAGUUUCCCUUAAAAAACAAAUCUCAAUAAAAAUCUUUAGUGUAAAAUAUUGCCGCUUAAAUCUAAAAGAUAAUAGAGUCUUUAUUUUGACUAUUUCCUUACAUUAAUUAUAAAAGAAAAAAAAGUUAAUCAUAUUCUGGAAUUACAAAAUUAAUAAUUUAUUAGAAAAUAAGUAAUUUAAUUUAUAAAUAUAAGUUAAAAUUCAUAUUUUUAAUCAUAGCAUUUUUAUAUUAUUUUAUUUUAACAAAAUUUUAGAUGUUUUAUAAGCUCGUAAUGUACAUGAAUAAUAAGAGUAUUGUCCAUUCUUUAAGUACACCAUUAAAACCAAAUUAUAUACGUGUGUAUUUGAAUUUAUAGUAUAUAAUAGGAUUACUUUUAUUAUGUAUGACACUUAAUAGAAGUGUCAGUAAAUGAGUACUAUUAUGAUAUUUACGUCAAAAUGUAGUAUUAGUGUAUGAUGUAAAUGUAGUAAAAAACUGGUGUAUUGAUUGAGUAUUUAUAAUGACAGUUUUUAUAAAGUGUCAUAAACUAAAUGUAGUAAUAGGCUAUUUUUUUAGUAGUGGGAGUAAUAUUUAGACGCCUCGGUGUUUUAGUUUUAUAUAUAAAAAAGCUGGAAAUGAUUGUUGAUGCUUUAUAUCGACAACGAUUUUUAUUUUCUUACGUAAUCCGUGGAAUUAGCCACAUGCUUACUUACACCCCCAUUCUCUCCCAUUUUAUGUAUCUAUAUAUACACAGACGUUACACAUAAUUAUUUACAGCUAACCGGUGCCGACUAUAUAUGUGUGGUUUCUAGUUCUACUAUAUAUAUAUACACACACACUUGUAGUUGUAGAGCGAGAGAGACGUGUUGAGUUGAGAGGCAAAUUACAAUAAUAGAGUGAGGGAGAAGAUGCAGGCAUCACAGGAGGAGGAGAAACAAAUGAAGUCCUAUUCAUCUUCUUGGCUUGUUCCCAGCAGAUGUUUCUCUUCUCCGCCGCCGGAAAAUGGAUUCGACGAAGCUAAGCCAUCCCAGAAGCAGCGAACGCCCGGUGGCUGGAAGGCCAUGCCUUUUGUUUUGGGUCUCCCUCUCUCUCCCUCACAACCCUUUUUCUGUUGUUCACUUACUGUUUAAUUAUUUAAUUUUAUUAAUCUUGCGUGUGCAGGAAAUGAAACUUUUGAGAGGUUGGCAACAAUAGGAUUGCUAGCAAAUUUCAUGGUGUUUCUGCUAACGCAGUUUCACAUGGACCAAGUCUUAGCUUCGAAUGUUAUGAACAUAUGGAUGGGUGUCACAAACUUCGCUCCCUUGAUCGGUGCAUACAUUUCACAUGCCCAUUUAGGCAGAUUCAGAACUAUUGCUUAUGCUACCUUUUCAGCUAUCAUGGUACGUACACGUAAACCUAUUUUCUACAUUUAAUUCUAAUUAAUUGAUCAACUCUUCUCAAUUAAUGAUCCAGUGCUCAAAUUUAAAAUCUGAAAAGGUUAAACCGAACUAUUUAGACCACUCUACUUAAAAAGGUAGCUCUAACUUAAAAAUCAUCGUAUGAAAUAUCCACAGUAGCUAGCUAGUAUCUUGUGGUCCACUUUUCUUCUUCCUUAUCUAUAUUUUGGAAGUAUAUAUGGAUCGAAAUUCGGGAGUCGGUAAAAUUUGAUACCUGCAACUGCAUUUAUAUCCCACACAUGUGGGCCGGGGGCCCUAUUUUUUUCCCACUAAAAUUAUGGUUAUACUUAUACAUGACAUGUGCUGAUAGAUUCGAUUAAGCCAGAAAUUGUGAUUUCAUGUCUGAGAAAGAUGUUAUUACUAUAUUGCUUCUACAAUCUGGAUCUCUUAUUCUUUACACGAUCGAUUAAUGAAUACCAAAUAUAAACUACAGACCACCAAGAUGUGUAAAUCAUUUUCUAUCCAUGAUAGGCUCAUACCUAUCGAAGCGUUAGUGGAAUUCAAAUAUGUGACAUUUGGCCUUAAAAAACCAACUCUACUACUAGUUGUUUCUUGCAGAUUUAGAAUUCCAGCUUCCAACAUAUAUAUUUUCUUUUGGACAUAGAUAGCAAUUUGUGCAUGAAAAGGUAAUGCAACCUAACUACAUACAAAUAUAUGAUAUCAAUCGCCUUCGAUCCUAAUUAACAUACAUCUUAUUUAAGGUCAAUUAAUUUGGCCCCCAAUUUGUCCAUAAAAAGCUGCAUAAUCGAUAUGUACACCCAAAAAUAGUUAGCACCACCAAAUUGGGAUGCAAUAAUUGAAAAUCAUGCAGACUAAUUCGAGAAUAUAUAUAAUGGAGAACUAAUUAGAUAGCUGUCCUUGUUAACCAAUUUUAGGAGUUAACAAUUACUUGCAACAAUCAUCAAAUAAUCUUUGCCCACAUCCAAAAUCAUGGAGAUGGCGAUGUUAAUUAUCAUGGUUAUGUACAACAUAAUUAUUGAACUAGUGCGCGCAUGCAGGGCAUGGUGACGUUGACCAUAAUAGCAGGGGUGCCUCAGUUGCGGCCUCCGCCAUGCAUUAAUCAAAAAUGCAGCGCUCCCACCAAAUCCCAGCUGGGAGUCCUGGCGCUGGGCCUCGGCUUUCUCUCCGUCGGCACCGGCGGCAUCAGGCCGUGCAGCAUCCCUUUUGGCGUCGACCAGUUCGACGCCUCCACGGCGGAAGGGAGGAGAGGAAUCAACAGCUUCUUCAACUGGUAUUACAUGUCCUUCACCCUCGUCAUGACCAUCGCUCUCACCUUGGUCGUCUACAUUCAAGACUCCGUCAGCUGGGUCUGGGGCUUCGGCAUCCCCACCGCGCUCAUGCUCUUCGCCAUCGUCCUCUUCUUCGUCGGCACCAAUUUCUACGUCUACGUCGUGCCCGAGGGCAGCGUCUUCACCGCCAUUGCGCAGGUCAUCGCCGCCACCUACAAGAAGCGUAAGCUGCACAUCCCCGACGCCGCCGCCUAUUUUGAUCCGCCGUUGAAGGGGACUCUCGUCACUAAGCUCUCUUUGACCAAUAACUUAAGGUUAGAGAAUUUAAUUAAUUACGUCAGUCAAUUUGAGAGUGGCGUCUCAUUAAUUAAUCAUGAUUAUUUUGUUUGUUUCAGGUUCUUUAAUAAAGCCGCGUUGAUAACCGAGGGUGAUAUUGGGGUGGAUGGAUCCAACUCCAAGCCGUGGAGGCUAUGCAGCGUCCAAAAAGUGGAAGAAACCAAAUGCCUAUUCAAAAUCAUCCCGAUUUGGGCUUCCGGGAUUAUCUGUUUUACCGCCAUUGUACAACAGAGCACAUUCAUCUUGUCUCAAGCCUUGACAAUGGACCGCCACCUGGGUCCCAACUUUCAGAUCCCGGGCGGGUCGCUCGGGGUCAUCUCGAUGAUCACGGUGGCGCUAUGGAUCCCCGUGUACGACCGGGUGGUGGUGCCGUCCGUGAGGAAGGUCACCAAGGUGGAAGGUGGCAUCACCUUGCUCCAGAGGAUGGGGAUCGGGCUGGUGUUCUCCAUCCUCUCGAUGGUAGUGUCCGGCCUGGUCGAGCGGAUGAGAAGGGCCUCUGCCCUAGCUCACGCUGGACCAGGCGGGACCACUACCCUAACGGUCUUCUGGCUGGCCCCGCAGCUGAUGCUGAUGGGGUUCGCCGAGGCAUUCAAUAUCAUUGGACAGAUUGAGUUUUAUAAUAAAGAAUUCCCGGAAAAUAUGACUAGUUUGGCAAACUCGUUGUUCUCGUGCACAAUGGCGGGGGCGAGCUAUAUAAGUGCGGCGUUGGUGAACAUCGUGCACCACACAACUGCCACGCGCGCCCAUCCCGAUUGGUUGACCAAAGAUAUUAACCAGGGAAGGCUCGAGAACUUGUAUUUCUUGAUCGCCGGCUUGGGCGUCUUGAAUUUCGGAUACUUUAUUUGGG